rnacentral:lncRNA from 1 species
GCCGCGACGGUCGUAGACUCAUUGAGGUCCCAAACCUCUAAGGUGGCAGCAUUGAAAUGUACCACAAAGUCUUGUAGAGAUUCUUCAUCUUGCUGUCUAAUGGAGAAAAGGCUAUCGGACAUUCGUGGCAUCCUCUGAUUGGUGCCAAAAUGUGCCAUAAAGAGUUGUUUGAACUGCUCGAAUGAAUAGAUACUCCUUGGUUGAAGUCUAG